rnacentral:rRNA from 1 species
AAGACCUUGCGCCUUUGGAGCGGCCGAUGUCUGAUUAGCUUGUUGGUGAGGUAAAGGCUUACCAAGGCUUCGAUCAGUAGCUGGUCUGAGAGGACGGCCAGCCACACUGGGACUGAGACACGGCCCAGACUCCUACGGAAGGCAGCAGUGGGGAAUUUUGGACAAUGGGGGCAACCCUGAUCCAGCCAUGCCGCGUGAGUGAAGAAGGCCUUCGGGUUGUAAAGCUCUUUCAGCCGGAACGAAACGGUUACGAUUAAUACCCGUAACUACUGACGGUACCGGAAGAAGAAGCACCGGCUAACUACGUGCCAGCAGCCGCGGUAAUACGUAGGGUGCGAACGUUAAUCGGAAUUACUGGGCGUAAAGCGUGCGCAGGUGGUUUUGUAAGUCAGAUGUGAAAUCCCCGGGCUUAACCUGGGAACU